AGAGAAAAGCAGGGCUGAAAACUCUGAGACACAGCCCCCGGGGACCGCUGCCCAGGCCCUGUGCUCAAGCCUGUGUCCCAGCUGCUUGAUAAUCGAGUGAGCAUGUUCCUAACCGACCUCUUGGCAGCAGCUGGGUUUGGAACAGCGGGAAAGAGAAGAGCCACACCUCUCUCACUGGGUUUUCCUCUGUGGAGUCUGGACCUUGAAGUGUAGAUACCUUUGGGGGAACGCUGAGGGUGAAUCAUGUGCCUCGUUCAAAAAUCAGCAUGUAUAAACGUGUAUGCAGUAGAACGAUCCUCGUUGACCCCUGUCCCCCAAGCUGCCAAGUUUCCCGCCCCACAAACAACCACGGUGAGUCGUCUCGGGGGCAUUCU